CUAGCCUACUAGGCGAUCGCUUGUUUUUAAGCAAGAGGAAAGUCCGGGCAGCAUAGGGCGACGACAGCCGCUAACGGCGGCCGGGGGAAACCCUAGGGAAAGUGCCACAGAAACGAUACCGCCUAAACUUCAGUUUGGGUAAGGGUGAAAGGAGUGGGGUAAGAGCCCACAGCGACGCACGGUAACGUGUGGAGGAGGUAAACCCUGUCGGCUGCAAGGAGACAUACUAAUGGCGGCCCGCUUGUAUGUCGCUAUCCGCUCGAUCUGUUUGGCAACAGACAGACUAGAUAGAUGAUCGUCCACGACAGAACCCGGCUUAUCGGUAGGCUAUCAAG
rnacentral:RNase_P_RNA from 1 species